UACAGAGGGGGCGAGCGUUGUUCGGAAUUACUGGGCGGAAAGCGCGCGCAGGCGGCUAUCCAAGUCAGUGGUGAAAGCCCGGAGCUCAACUCCGGAACUGCCAUUGAAACUGUUUAGCUUGAGGACGAGAGAGGUGAGUGGAAUUCCCAGUGUAGAGGUGAAAUUCGUAGAUAUUGGGAAGAACACCGGUGGCGAAGGCGGCUCACUGGCUCGUAUCUGACGCUCAGGCGCGACAGCGUGGGGAUCAAACAGG
rnacentral:rRNA from 1 species